rnacentral:rRNA from 1 species
GACGAACGCUGGCGGCGUGCCUAAUACAUGCAAGUAGAACGCUGAAGGAAGGAGCUUGCUCUUUCUGGAUGAGUUGCGAACGGGUGAGUAACACGUAGGUAAACUGCCUGGUAGCGGGGGAUAACUAUUGGAAACGAUAGCUAAUACCGCAUAAAAUUGAUUAUUGCAUGAUAGUCAAUUAAAAGGUGCAACUGCACCACUACCAGAUGGACCUGCGUUGUAUUAGCUAGUUGGUGGGGUAACGGCUCACCAAGGCGACGAUACAUAGCCGACCUGAGAGGGUGAUCGGCCACACUGGGACUGGGACACGGCCCAGACUCCUACGGGAGGCAGCAGUAGGGAAUCUUCGGCAAUGGACGGAAGUCUGACCGAGCAACGCCGCGUGAGUGAAGAAGGUUUUCGGAUCGUAAAGCUCUGUUGUAAGAGAAGAACGAGUGUGAGAGUGGAAAGUUCACACUGUGACGGUAUCUGACCAGAAAGGGACGGCUAACUACGUG